UAUCCUGCAAUUGAAGAAAACUCUCAACUCCUACUUGCGCUCCGCCUCUUCCUCCUUUUCAUUGCUCAAUAGGAGGCAGCUCAUCUGGCCGUGCAGCAGACCACGUCCUGAGCGGGUCGGUGACGGCGGUUGCAGCUGGUGCACGAUGGCGAUUCCAACGACAACAGGAAUCUGCAACUUGUUAGACUUCUUUGCAACCCCAACAAGGCCCUCAUCUGCUUUGUCUACAUAUAUGCAUGAUUUCUAUGAUUGGAAUCAGAUAGCACUAACUAUGUGUCAGACUGCUAAUAUUUAUUUGCUUGAUGAUCCUUGAAGCGCACUCUACGCUCAUACAUGAUCCCACAUAUUCUAGAUGCUUUCUUGAGGCUUUGGCUAAAAAUCUGUGGUGUACGUCACUCAUCAGGUAACUAUGACGGGCUAAUGCCUUAAGCUGGGACAUACAACAAAAUACUUAUUUUAUGGGAGGAGUUUAUGGAACUGGGUAGUGCUCAUCAGGAUGCUCUUGCAACAAUUGACACAAUCGAUGUGGCUAAUGGAGCCAGUGAGUAACCUUGCCACCCUUCAGUAUGGUUCCUAUCUUUAGAUAGUCACAUCCACGUUCGUACUUUUAGAAUAGUUGUUGCAACGGGGAAGAGCAUUUCUGCAGUAGCAAGAUAUCAGGACCCAAUGGGCAUAGCCCGAACCAACCACCAUCACUAUUGCUUCAGGAUUAGAUAGCCAACUUCCACUCAUGAGCCUGUCGAGUCAAGUUUCAGACUGAUCAUGUAUCCCCUUGAUAUUCACUGGAUGGAAUCCCCUGUUUUACUCAAACUGAACCUUCUACAAACAUCGGAAAAGCAACAGUAGUAAAGAUGGACAGAAAUUCCAAAAAUAAGAGGUUGGAUGGAGCAUCGAGGAUUUCAGGCUUGGGGUGGCCACGUGUUGCAGGAUAGCAGGAAGAGUUGGAUGUGUUCUGCAGAGACCAGGUGAUCACUGUCGUUGCCGCCAGGUACCUGAAGUACAACACUUCUAAAUUUGGUCAUUUAUUUAUCCUCAUAGCUGGUUCAGAAGCAGAAGUGGCAGUAUAGUGUGCAUGCCGUAUUGACCUGUUCAUGCCAAUGGCAGAAGUAUCUGAUUCAUCCGACCUAAUUCAAGUUAACUUGAGUGCAGCAGAAGCUGGUUCUGAAUAAAAAGUUUUACUUCUGAAGCAGAAGCAGAAGCUGGUGAACUUGGAUGUGUUCAGAAGCAGAAGCUGGUUCUAUGUCAUGAAUAAAAUUUUUUACUUCUGAACUUGGAUGUGUUCAAAUAUAAAAAGUUUUACUUCUGAAUAAAAAGUUUUAACUUGGAUGUGUUCAGAAGCAGAAGCUGGUUCUGAAUAAAAAGUUUUACUUCUGAAGCAGAAGUGGCAGUAUAGUGUGCAUGCCGUAUUGACCUGUUCAUGCCAAUGGCAGAAGUAUCUGAUUCAUCCGACCUAAUUCAAGUUAACUUGAGUGCAGCAGUAGAUAAACAUUCACAAAUUCUACUCCAAAUGGACAGUAAUAGUAGUACGUGGGCAGUGUAAAAUGUGUUUUUGUUAGUUCAGUGAAAAUUAGAGAUCAACCUGAUGGUACUUCAUUUUUAUUCUAAUCUGCCAAAUGCUAUUAAGGAAAUGAAGUUUCUUCCUCGAUCAAGUUAUCAGUCCUUGGUUCACUCUUGCCCUUUGCGCUGGAUGAGACGGGGAGGAGGAGGAGGAGAGUGUGGGGGCAUCUGGAGAGGAGCAAGGGGUGAGAAGUAGCAAGAGGUUCCUUAAUAGCAUUUGGCAGAUUAGAAUAAAAUUGAAGUACCAUCAGGUUGAUCUCUAAUUUUCACUGAACUAACAAAAACACAUUUGCUCCACAUUUCCCUUUGCGCUGUCAGUGAAAAUGUUAUACGUCUUAGCUACCUCUGCUCGCUUUCGAUGAUCAGUUCACUACUUUACUGCUCUUUCCUUAAUUUCGAGAGGACACAGGAGAGGGAGCUACAACGGCAGGAGAAGAAUGCAACGAGGUCCGGUCUUCUGUUCGAUGCCAAGGGCCUGUCCGGCAGUGAUUUCCUCGGGAUGAUCUAGAUGAUAUAACAAAAGGAUUAUAUAUGCGUUUGUGUGCUUCAGAAAAGGUUACUGCUACAUUCAACUUUUCACCAGAAAUGAUUCGUAUAUCCUGAAGAUGUUGCUAGCGUCUUGAAGGAUUACUUAUAUUUGCUCCCUAAUUUCCUGGAUUAUACGAAGUGAGUUGGAUCAUCCAGGGUUGGCGAAACUGAUAUUCAAAUUUGUUUUGUUCUUUAGACCAGACAUUAGCCCUUUCUCUCUAUUUAACAUAUUUCAAGUUCUCAUGUUACAUUAUACUCCCUCCGGCCCAUAAUGUAAGACGUUUUUUGACACUAAUGUAGUGUAAAAAAAGUCUUACAUUAUGGGACGGAGGGAGUAGUAAAUAUUCAAUUCACUUCUAUUUUGUAGACAUGUCAUUAGCCUUUUCUCUCUAUUUAACACAUUUCAAGUUCUCAUGUUACAUCAAAAGUACGCUGGUUAGGAUGUUUGCAACAUGCCGUGUGUUGUAAUCUUUGUCCACUGUACAUGCACAGAUUAAAUACUUUCAUUAGUACUUUUACAUA